AGCAGUAGCCGCGGGAAUACGAAGGGUGCAAGCGUUAAUCGGAAUUACUGGGCGUAAAGCGCACGCAGGCGGUCUGACAAGUCAGAUGUGAAAUCCCCGGGCUUAACCUGGGAACUGCAUUUGAAACUGUCAGGCUGGAGUCUUGUAGAGGGGGGUAGAAUUCCAGGUGUAGCGGCGAAAUGCGUAGAGAUCUGGAGGAAUACCGGUGGCGAAGGCGGCCCCCUGGCCAACACUGACGCUCAUGCACGAAAGCGUGGGAGCAAACAGGAUUAGAUACCCCUGUAGUCCCUGUCUCUUAUACAC
rnacentral:rRNA from 1 species